rnacentral:lncRNA from 1 species
UAUUUGAUACAUAAUUACACCUUAUAUUAGAAUGCCAGCUUUUGAUUGGCUGAUAGCCAGUGUAUUUUUCGCAUAUUCUAACAUUUCUUCCUCAUUUCAAACGAAUCUGACUGUUUUUCACCACUGCCGGUGAAUAUGCCUCAAAUACCAUGGUAUUUGCCAUUUUGGAUAUUCCUUUUUUACCCUCUCGAGCAUUUUCCCGCCAAUUUUUCGGAUAUGACGUUACAUAAAGACAGCGCGAACGCGUAUAAGUACAUGUAUAGUUCCCGCGGUAUAUUUUAUGAUAGUACUUGUCCUCAAAUAAAUAUUUCCUUUUCCUAGUACAGAGAGUUUUAAUUAAAAUUCAUUCGGUGUAAUUAAACAGAUAUAUCAUGUUAUGGAGGGGUAUUUGCAAAAAAUACAAGUCUUGGGACAAAAUUUCCCUUGCCUAGCGGCUCGGGAAAUUUAAGGCCCUCGACUUGUAUUUUUCGCAAAUACCCCUCCAUAACAUGAUAUAUCUGUUCAUCAU